rnacentral:rRNA from 1 species
GCAUAUCAAUAAGCGGAGGAAAAGAAACCAACAGGGAUUGCCUCAGUAACGGCGAGUGAAGCGGCAAGAGCUCAACUUUGGAAUCGCUCCGGCGAGUUGUAGUCUGGAGGUGGCCACCACGAGGUGUUCUAGCAGCAGGCAAGUCCUUUGGAACAAGGCGCCAGCGAGGGUGACAGCCCCGUACCUGCUUUUGCUAGUGCUUCCUGUGGCCCACCGACGAGUCGAGUUGUUUGGGAAUGCAGCUCUAAGUGGGUGGUAAAUUCCAUCUAAGGCUAAAUAUUGGCGAGAGACCGAUAGCGAACAAGUACAGUGAUGGAAAGAUGAAAAGCACUUUGAAAAGAGAGUGAAACAGUACGUGAAAUUGUUGAAAGGGAAGGGCUUGCACCCAGACACGGUUUCGGCCGGGCCAGCAUCAAGUAGAACGGGGUUAAAAGACUUGGGGAAUGUAGCUACUUCGGUAGUGUUAUAGCCCUUGGUGAUGACCCCUGUUUUGCUUGAGGACAGCGGUCUCUAGGAUGCUGGCGCAAUGGUUGCAAGCCACCCGUCUUGAAACACGG